AUUGAACGCUGGCGGCAUGCCUUACACAUGCAAGUCGAACGGUAACAGGUCUUCGGAUGCUGACGAGUGGCGAACGGGUGAGUAAUACAUCGGAACGUGCCCGAGAGUGGGGGAUAACGAAGCGAAAGCUUUGCUAAUACCGCAUACGAUCUCAGGAUGAAAGCAGGGGACCGCAAGGCCUUGCGCUCACGGAGCGGCCGAUGGCAGAUUAGGUAGUUGGGGGGAUAAAAGCUUACCAAGCCGACGAUCUGUAGCUGGUCUGAGAGGACGACCAGCCAAACUGGGACUGAGACACGGCCCAGACUCCUACGGGAGGAAGCAGUGGGGAAUUUUGGACAAUGGGCGCAAGCCUGAUCCAGCCAUGCCGCGUGCAGGAUGAAGGCCUUCGGGUUGUAAACUGCUUUUGUACGGAACGAAAAGACUCCUUCUAAUAAAGGGGGUCCAUGACGGUACCGUAAGAAUAAGCACCGGCUAACUACGUGCCAGCAGCCGCCGUAAAAC
rnacentral:rRNA from 1 species